CAAAAUAAAGAGGAAAAGAACGGGACACACAAUGAAACCAAACAGGAAGAAAACACCUGCUGAUUACACAAAACAACCACAUUCUGUUCAGAAAGCAGAAAACACACUGUACUGGUCAGAAGCCAGCUGCUCUGUUCAAUCACAACCAAGUUACACAAAAACAACACAAAAUGACACAAAAGGAUGCUUGAACAACAAAAAAGUGACCUAAAGACACAACAGGGUGAUGAAGGAACGAAUGUCUGUCCUCAGAAACAACCAGCGUGUUAUCUGCAGCUUUUCAGCAAAGAUUAAAAACAAACCAACAGAAAAACCUCGCCUAGCAGCAGAAAAUCACUUUGAAAUAAAGAUUUGAGCAGAACAAACCCAGCCCACUACUUUCUCUUCAUUUUUUACCAAGAACGUUUAUUUUUUUCUGACUUUACUGAUUUGACUAUUUUUGCCUGUUAGAUCAGAUUUACAGCCUCUUUAUGGAAGACAAGAAUUCUUUACGUUCUCUGAGGUGUCCCUGAACGCAUCGUCCGCUAAACCCGUCCUGAGGUGUCCCUGAACGCAUCGUCCGCUAAACACGUCCUGAGGUGUCCCUGAAUGCAUCGUCCGCUAAACACGUCCUGAGGUGUCCCUGAACGCAUCGUCCGCUAAACCCGUACUCUGAGGUGUCCCUGAACGCAUCGUCAGCUAAACACGUCCUGAGGUGUCCCUGAAUGCAUCGUCCGCUAAACCCGUCCUGAGGUGUCCCUGAACGCAUCGUCCGCUAAACCCGUACUCUGAGGUGUCCCUGAACGCAUCGUCAGCUAAACCCGUACUCUGAGGUGUCCCUGAACGCAUCGUCAGCUAAACCCGUCCUGAGGUGUCCCUGAACGCAUCGUCAGCUAAACCCGUACUCUGAGGUGUCCCUGAACGCAUCGUCCGCUAAACCCGUACUCUGAGGUGUCCCUGAACGCAUCGUCCGCUAAACCCGUACUCUGAGGUGUCCCUGAACGCAUCGUCAGCUAAACCCGUACUCUGAGGUGUCCCUGAACGCAUCGUCCGCUAAACCCGUACUCUGAGGUGUCCCUGAACGCAUCGUCCGCUAAACCCGUACUCUGAGGUGUCCCUGAACGCAUCGUCCGCUAAACCCGUACUCUGAGGUGUCCCUGAACGCAUCGUCCGCUAAACCCGUACUCUGAGGUGUCCCUGAACGCAUCGUCCGCUAAACCCGUACUCUGAGGUGUCCCUGAACGCAUCGUCUGCUAAACACGUACUCUGAGGUGUCCCUGAACGCAUCGUCCGCUAAACCCAUCCUGAGGUGUCCCUGAACGCAUCGUCCGCUAAACCCAUCCUGAGGUGUCCCUGAACGCAUCGUCCGCUAAACCCGUACUCUGAGGUGUCCCUGAACACAUCGUCAGCUAAACCCGUACUCUGAGGUGUCCCUGAACACAUCGUCCGCUAAACCCGUCCUGAGGUGUCCCUGAACGCAUCGUCCGCUAAACCCGUCCUGAGGUGUCCCUGAACGCAUCGUCUGCUGAAACCCUAAAACUCCAGUUAUUCUUAC